UACGAAGGGGGCUAGCGUUGCUCGGAAUCACUGGGCGUAAAGGGUGCGUAGGCGGGUUUUUAAGUCAGGGGUGAAAUCCUGGAGCUCAACUCCAGAACUGCCUUUGAUACUGAAGAUCUUGAGUUCGGGAGAGGUGAGUGGAACUGCGAGUGUAGAGGUGAAAUUCGUAGAUAUUCGGCAAGAACACCAGUGGCGAAGGCGGCUCACUGGCCCGAUACUGACGCUGAGGCACGAAAGCGUGGGGAGCAAACAGG
rnacentral:rRNA from 1 species